GGAGUAUAGAAGUUGUAAUAACCACAAUCAGUCAUGGUUUAACUUUUAAUGGGGAAUCUGAAAAAUGAUUCAACAAACAAGAAAAACAACUUUCUUUGUCUAGCAAAGAGGAUUAGUACAAGCAAAAACUAUACAAUAUAAACAAAUAUAUACAAAUACUUAAAAGAAUACAAAUUAUUGCAAUGCUCCAAUAUCUAAACGCCAGUCCCCGGCAACGGCGCCAUUUUGUUGAAAUACAAAAGUAAGUAUGUUUUUAUCGUCUCCACAGGGACUGAUGCGAUAUCGAUGCCGUUCAACAAUUAAUAUAGUUUCAAGUAAAGGAUUUCAAAGAUGGUUGAUUAUGAAAGUUGCGAAUACAUGAAAGUAGUAAAGAUGAUUAAUUUGACAGAGAGAUUAAAUUGCUGGGAUUAGAUUUCAAUCACUCAUUCAUACAUAUUCCCCUAAUCAGUUACACAGAUUCUAGUCAUCUAUCAAUAUUAUCACGUAUCGCUCGUCGAACGUUUCCGUGUCCAGAUAACGCCGAGAUAUUUAUUGCAUCUAUUAACAUCCGAUGUCUCGGGUCGUCAAUCAAUACAAUAGCAUUAAGAUUCGAUACUCUAAGUGAAUAUUAAACCUAAAUCUAUGUCUAGAAUUUAGAGUUCGAUAGAUAUUAUCCUAGUUCUUAGAUUCAAAAGGUAUAUGUCUAUAACAAUUCAAAUCAAAGAUUAAAACAAUGAAAACAAAGAUAACAUCAAUAUUGAGAGAUAACUAAAACCAUAUAUAAAACCAUGAUUAAUAGAAACACAUACUAAUAGAGUAAUUUACACCUAACCCCAACAAAAGAGAGAAUUAGUUAUACAUAAUAACCUUACAAUACAUAGCUAGAAGAGAUGGAAAGAUGAUAAAGAUGAUUCCUCUACUCUUCUUGGUAGCUCUCAAUCUCCUCUGCCUUCACCCUCUCUCGUGAAGUUUUGUGUGUUGUUCUAAGAGUGAAUGAAUUCAAUUUUCAAGGAAUGGCUUCACAUGCCUUUUAUAGGCUUUUAAUGCUAAGCAAAUUGCACAAGGCGGUUCUUACACUAUGAUGAUAUCCUUCAUGGCUAAGUUAGCUUUUAUAAUUAAGAAUAAAAACACUGCUG
rnacentral:lncRNA from 1 species